CAGAGGACACCAUCACUUGAGUAAAGCUGCAGUCUUCAGAAGGGGAAAAAAAUCUUCAUCAGUUAUUUAUACAUCUGACAGAAGGAUGGAGAGAGAAAGGCAAGUGAAGUUCUCGACACAAUGCCUAGCAGAUGUCGACAUUUCCUUCUUUUCCUCCUCGUUCACCCAGGCCACUUCUGAGAAAGAGAGAAUCUACCUGGAUGCCCUAGAGUCUAGGGCCUAGACCGUCUUGAAGUAUGGACAUGUAAGUGCAGAUGACACACAGAAGACUUGCUAUGUCUAUAAGCAAAUUAGCCACAUCCUUUUCUCGUGCCAUGGUGAGAGGCAGAGCAAAUCC